UUCACUAUUUAGGCGUAGGGACGUGGAGAUAACGCUGAAAAUUGAUUAACCUGUGGUGCGAAGUGAAUAAAUGUAGGGGAACUACGUACAAAAUGAUAUAGCCAACAUAAUUCGAAUUUGGCGUUCUCAAGCGCGCAACUAACCACGACACCACGUUAUUCGAGUGGCUUUUACUAACCUGUCAAAAAGUGAACGUCCUCCUCUCAUUCGCCCGGGUGUCAUGGCCGACGACAAGCAUUGAUACGUUACGAGUUUUUUUUUCCUUGCAACAAGUUAUUUGUAUAGAUGGUAAAGAACCAAAGAAGAUUACUGUAGAAUAUGACAGUGCUGUGAUUUACCAAUAAAGAGUUAUGAACCUAAAUUAAAACCGUAUGUCAUUUUGUACGUAUUUACCCUACUGUCUUGUAACCUGAAGUAUUAUUUGUGUUCCUACCAGAUUUCAUUUAAAUAUCAUUUGUCAACAAAAAGAUCUUGGCAAUUACGAGUUACUUUUUGAUUCUGUCUCUAAUAACUCGACAUUAACAUGAAUUAAAAUGAAUAAUAAUGUAAAUUUCUCUCAUGUAUUUAAUUGUUCUACAGUAUCGAAAUGACACGUUAUUAUCGACACUAUACAAUAGCAAUUGGUGGCAGGUUCGCUCACCAAACGAACUGUCCAAGUGAAAUUUUUGGUGUGCAAAUCACAUAGAAUAUCACACGUACGAACGUACUUCUUGAAUCAGAAAUAAUAUUUAUAUUUAAUUUUGUAAGAAAUAAAACAGAUACACCUACGAAAUAUAACCCACCAACGAAAAAGGAUAAUGUUUUAAAAAAUAAUACACAUUGUGUAAGCUAAUAUACAAUUAUCGAUACCACUGUAUGAAUUCGAAUAAUUCGGAUCAGAAUAAGGAUAUUUCCGUCAAAAUGAAAGUAUUGAUUAUAGUGUUCCUGCUUUGUAUUUGCGAUUUAUGCUCAAUUGUUGCAAGUCGUAAACUCCCUGAAGAUACGAAAAAUGUAUAUUAUCGUCUGUGUCCAGCGGAUCUAAGACGUGGCAUUUGCCAUACUGAGUGCGUAUUUCAGAAGUGGAAUAUGUGUUAUAGAGCCGAACCUCCUUGUCGUUGUAAAUAACAAUGGAAAACGGGAAAUUUCCUAGCGAACAUUUCUUCAAAUAUUUUAUGAAU